rnacentral:rRNA from 1 species
AUACGUAGGGGGCGAGCGUUGUCCGGAAUGAUUGGGCGUAAAGGGCGCGUAGGCGGCCCGGUAAGUCUGGAGUGAAAGUCCUGUUUUUAAGAUGGGAAUUGCUUUGGAUACUGUCGGGCUUGAGUGCAGGAGAGGUAAGUGGAAUUCCCAGUGUAGCGGUGAAAUGCGUAGAGAUUGGGAGGAACACCAGUGGCGAAGGCGACUUCCGGGACGUUAACGGAGGCUGAGGGGGGAAAGGGUGGGGAGCAAACGGGAUUGGAUACCCUGGUAUUCAACAUUUUAAAGGAUGAAUGCUAGGGGUAGGGGUUUUGGACCCCUUCUGUGCCGAAGUAACCACAAAAGGCAUUCGCCUGGGGAGUACGGCCGCAAGGUUGAAACUCAAAGGAAUUGACGGGG